ACACGUAGUCAACCUGCCCUGGAGACGCGGACAAACCCGGGAAACUGGGGCUAAUCCGCGAUAGAUGACCUCAUCUGGAAGGAGAGGCCGUCCAAAAGGCGACGCGAGUAUGCUUCGCGCCAUCCGCUCCAGGAUGGGACUGCGGCCGAUCAGGCUGUUGGCGGGGUAAUGGCCCACCAAACCUGUAACCGGUACGGGCUUUGAGAGAAGGAGCCCGGAGAUGGACACUGAGACAAGGGUCCAGGCCCUACGGGGCGCAUCAGGCGCGAAAACUUCGCAAUGCGCGAAAGCGUGACGAGGCUAGUCCGAGUGCCUUCCGCUGAGGAGGGCUUUUCUCGGCUGCAAAAAGGCCGGGGAAUAAGGGGAGGGCAAGUCUGGUGUCAGCCGCCGCGGUAAUACCAGCUCCUCGAGUGGUCGGGACGAUUAUUGGGCCUAAAGCACCCGUAGCCGGUUCAGUAAGUCCUCUGUCAAAUCCAACCGCUCAACGGUUGGCCUGCAGAGGAUACUGCAGGACUAGGAGGCGGGAGAGGCGGACGGUACUCCGCGUGUAGGGGUAAAAUCCUUUGAUCCGCGGAAGACCACCAGUGGCGAAGGCGGUCCGCCAGAACGCGCUCGACGGUGAGGGGUGAAAGCUGGGGGAGCGAACCGGAUUAGAUA
rnacentral:rRNA from 1 species